AUUGAACGCUGGCGGCAGGCCUAACACAUGCAAGUCGAACGAGUGGCGGACGGGUGAGUAAUGUCUGGGAAACUGCCUGCUGGAGGGGGAUAACUACUAGAAACGGUAGCUAAUACCGCAUACCAUCGGAUGUGCCCAGAGGGGAUUAGCUAGUAGGUGGGGUAAAGGCUCACCUAGGCGACGAUCCCUAUCUGGUCUUAGAGGAUGACCAGCAACAAGGGAACUGAGAAACGGUCCAGACUCCUACGGGAGGCAGCAGUGGGGAAUAUGGCACAAUGGGCGAAAGCCUGAUGCAGACAUGCCUGGUGUAUGAAGAAGGCCUUCGGGUUGUAAAGUACUUUCCGCGGGGAGGCGUUACCCGCAGAAGAAGCACCGGCUAAAUCCGUGCCAGCAGCCGCGGUAAUAC
rnacentral:rRNA from 1 species